rnacentral:lncRNA from 1 species
CUGCGGUCUCCCUAGCUGUUUCUUGAAGCUCUGCAUAAGCCUCGCCCGCGGCCGCCGGGUUGCGUCCGCACUUCUGCGCGCUGGCCCCUCCCUUGCUCCUCUCCCUAGCAGUCUCCAGGGUUUUACCGGGAGGACCUAGGCAACGGCCUGAGACUCCGAGACUCUAUGUUGAAGAUGCCUGGACUAACCUACUGAAGAUACGUGGUUUUACCAACAGCCAGCACCAAUAGGAAGAUAUGAAUGAAGCCAUCUGAGACCAGCCAUCUGGCAGCCAAACUGCCAACUGACUGCAAAUGCAUGAAUGAUCCCACUGACACCACGUAGAGCACAAAUGAGUUGCCUCCACUGAGCCCAGCCCAAAUUGUUAUCCUAUAAA